rnacentral:lncRNA from 1 species
AAAAAUCGAGUUUUAUACUCGCUGGUUUGUUGAAGUGUGUGUUUUAUACUCGUUGAGUGUAAGUGUGUGUUGAUUUUUCUUGUUUUUAGAUCUACGUUAUUUCUACUUCUAUUUUCUCUGAAUUCUAGCAAAAAGCGAAGGAAGGAGAUGAUUUUUUGGUGUAACUCCAAAAACAAAAUUAAUGGAAGGGAGGUAAAGUGUUUCGUUGAUAAAGGGAGGAGUUUGUGGAAGGAAGCAGAUUUUUAGGAGGGAAUGGGAGGAAAUUAAAGGGGAAAUCCAAAAUUAAUUUGAAAAUCGACAAAUUUAAUAUUUUUAAGGGAAAUAUUUUGAUGGAAAUAUUCAUCCGGUGUAAACGUUACAUGAUAAAAUAUCAUUGACUUUUUUUAAUAAAAAAUAAGAUUGAGUUAACACCUAAAUAUAUCAAACAAUACAAAUAGAGCAUCUAAAUUUAUUCGAUUUAAAUCCAUUAAGUUCCCUUCACUAUUGCUCAAUAAAUUCACAUCUGAUCCUCCUCCACUGUUGGAUUUGAAUUCACAUGGUUACAAGUACUGCCUUAUGAUCUUACAAUUUUUUUACUGGUUAUGUCCAAUUUUUCAACGAGUUUUUUAUCUCCAUAGUUCAACUAUAACUUGUUUCUGAUCGUUCAAUGUUGCAGGGUAUGCCAAGGACUAGAAAAGUUGAUUCCAGGGAGACUUAGAAACUCUUCAUUCUUGAGCAUCUUCCAAGUAAGUGUGAGUGUAUAACUUUACAACUGUACGAUUUCGACUUGAAACUGAAUAUAGUACCGGUUCUGAUUCUGUGAUUUUCUCGACAGGAAGAUGCCGCUGCAAAACUGUACCUGUAGAGGGUGUUUGAGAACGUUGCAAGUGGGGGCCUGCCUGCACUGCCAUCUCCAUUGAUCGAGAAUGCGAUUAUGAAUCUGGCCCGCAAGUUUUUUCUUUUUCUCUACUUCCAAAGUAACAGUCUCUGGAUUUCUGCAUAAUGUUGUUAGACUACUCAGCUUGUUUGAACUUCUUUUUGGUUAUUACAAUAGUUAACGAG